GGGUUUACCCAUUGGUCAGGCUUAAUUGUCUGUACUGGUGAGAUAAAUCUCUACCUUCUGAGGAACUUUCAUGUCAUUAAUUUGGUGUGAUUGGAAAUCAGGACUGUUACUUUGAAAAAAUUAGAGUGUUUAAAGCAGGCCUACGCUUGAAUACAUUAGCAUGGAAUAAUAGAAUAGGAC
rnacentral:rRNA from 1 species